UCAUCAGAGAGGAUGAGUGAAAGCAAGAGGUUUCACUCUCGCCAAACGUUAAAAAAAGAACCACAAUGCAUUUCUAUGGGUUUAUUUUGGAUCUGAAUUCGUCUCCUUAUUUUGGACCUGAACUUGUCGCCUUUGGGACAACUAUUACCAUUGUUAGGGAGGACCUGAGCCCUAGGACCAUGCCUCAAGACUACCAUGCAUGAUGACUCCUUGCUGUCCCCAGUCCACCUGACCGUGCUGCUGCUCCAGUUUCAACUGUUCUACCUGCGGCUAUGGAACCCUGACUUGUUCACCGGACGUGCUACCUGUCCCAGACCUGCUGUUUUCAACUCUCUAGAGACAGCAGGAGCGGUAGAGAUACUCUGAAUGAUCGGCUAUGAAAAGCCAACUGACAUUUACUUCUGAGGUGCUGACCUGUUGCACCCUCGACAACCACUGUGAUUAUUAUUAUUAUUAUUUGACCCUGCUGGUCAUCUAUGAACAUUUGAACAUCUUGGCCAUUUUCUGUUAUAAUCUCCACCCGGCACAGCCAGAAGAGGACUGGCCACCCCUCAUAGCCUGGUUCCUCUCUAGGUUUCUUCCUAGGUUCUGGACUUUCUAGGGAGUUUUUCCUAGCCACUGUGCUUCUACACCUGCAUUGCUUGCUGUUUGGGGUUUUAGACUGGGUUUCUGUACAGCACUUUGAGAUAUCAUCUGAUGUAAGAGGGCUUUAUAAAUACAUUUGAUUUUGAUUUUAUUUGAAGUACACACACACACACACACACACACAGACCCACGUACACUCGCAUGUACGCACACACAGACACACGCACGCAUGCACUCACACACACCUCCUUGCCCAUUCUUCUACCCCUACUGCCUGUCUCAGGAACAUUCUUUUAAGUAAAUUCACAGCUAAAGCAGAACUAGGCAGCAACGUUCUGGGAGCGUUUUAUCAUUAACAGGGGGCCUGCCUGGUCCCUGGGCUGCAUGCUGUGAUGUUGUGUAAGUUCUUCGCUCUGCUUACACACUCCAACAGAGGAGCAUAUGGGCCAAAACAAGCAGGUGUUUUCUGAUCCUGUGGCCCUCUGGUCCCCCCCACCAGGGAUCCCUGGCCAUUUUAGAUGUACUUUAUUAGUUAGGGAGUGUGUGUGUGUGGGAGUGAUCCCAGCUCUGGCAACACGCGCCUCUGCAGUACAGGGCUGGCCUGAUGGGGCUUGCAGCUGUGUGUUUAAUAGCUCUGUAUUGCUGUUGUUCUCUCUCUCUCUCUCUCUCUCUCUCUCUCUCUCUCUCUCUCUCUCUCUCUCUCUACAGCGACAGGAGGAAAGAAAAGACAAACCCUGCCCCAGGCAAGCACCUGUGAUGUGGAGUACUGCUACACCUGGCUAUUAGCAGAGCCUUGUCUGGCAGAGAAACAGUUCAUUCAGCCUCAUUUACUGCCUUUUCAGAAAACAUAGCUGAUAUGGCUGACUUGCUUAAACAAAUAUGGUUUCUAAUGAUAAUUGAGAUGUACAAACUAUGGCAUAAGCGAACGAUGAGCGGAUAAGAGACGAAUGUAGUCAAUAUAACUAUUUGUUCAGCACUUUUGAAAUAUAUAGCGACAUAAAUCAGAACAUGGACCGUUCUUACAGCAUAUUGCAUCAUGUAUUCAGCAGUAUACAAGACAUUUUUGGACUCACCUUGUUGUGCUGUGCUCACUUGAACAGGAAGGUGGUCCUUGCCAGCAAAUUUUGUCAUCAAACUUUGUCAUCAAAGUCUGGCAUUUUCUGGAUUUAUGGUGCUUUCGAGACAACUGGGAACUCUGAAUCAUGAUGUUGGUGAUAUUCAGGUCAGAGCUCUAGAAAGAGGCCAGAGUUCCCGAUUUGAAAUUCCGAGUUGGAUGACUGUUCCAAAUGUAUUUUCCCAGUUUCUGAGUUCCCAGUUGUCUUGAACGUGGCAGAAGUCAUGCUGGAUUGACAGCAUGGCCAAUGUAUUCAACCUUUUCUGGCCCAUGGUGUUGCAUGUGAAUGUUUAUCUUUUUGUGCAAAGCAGUCAUAGAAGUUAAGGGUGGCUACCUUGAAGAAUUUCAAAUCUAAAAUAUAUUUACAUUUGAUUAACACAGGAUUACUACAGGAUUCCAUAUGUGUUAUUUUAUUGUUUUGAUGUCUUCACUAUUAUUCUACAAUGUAGAAAAUAGUCAAAAUAAAGAAAAACCCUUGAAUGAG